UGUUAGCAGGGUUUAUUAUUAGCAGAAAGAAAUUGAUAGUGUGGAGUUCUUUUCUACCCCAACUCAGGUUUCUUUCUAACGAAUGAUGUGAGUGUGGAGCCUUGGGUGUAAGAGUUGGGUCCCAGUUGACUGAGUUUUGAUAAAACCCAUACUUGAAGCUCACUGUAGUGUGUGCCCCAGGCCCCCUCCGCCUUGCAGGAGCCCUGCCAGGGUGCACACAGCACCGAGUCACUGUCUCCCCAGCAUCCUCUCGGCUGUGAUGGUUUCCUUGUUGCUAGUGAAGCUGACAGCUUUGGAGAGUGGAGGCAAAGGAGUCUGUGCUCCUUGUGACACAGUGUGGACAUGGAGGAAGGUCAGAGUUCAGCAGAACCAUGCUGGCGCCAUACCGUACCGGGUGCAGGCUUCCCCGGUGCCGAUAUUCCAGCUCGCUCUCCUGAGGAGGUACCAGACGUAGGUCAGUGCAGGCAUCACCCCGCCUUCCGCAUGGGCAGAAACGCUGCGAUUGGUCACGUGUGCUGCUCUAACUUGCUGCUCUGCCUUGAUGCACGACUGGCAGCUCUUCGGGACUGCCUGGCAGUGAGAGGCUGUCUGUCUGUCUGUCUGCAGCCCGGCGUGGGUGGCAGGGGAAGCGCAGGGCGUCUGCUUCCCCGAGGGCUGUAAACAGUAAUUAAAUAGACGUUUGCAUCCA